ACCUACACGUCAAUUAAGAAAUUCCGAUAAUAACAACUCUGCUCCACUGUGCUUUCGCGCUCGAAUGAUGCUAAAAAAAUGAAACAAGAACGAUCUUCUUCCAAUUGGUCGAAUCGAAAUCCUGUUUAUGGUGUCCGUUUGAUGAAGUUAGGAUCAGAGUAACAGUACUCUGUAAAAAUUUCGACUCUGUGAACUCGUGUUAUCCGGCAUUGCGAAGUAGAAAGAAGCCCUAGAAUUCAAGGGAAGUCUGAUAUGGAUGCCAAGGAUAUCUUGGGCUUGCCCAAAAAUACGCUUCAUAUACCCCAAGAGAAGAAACCUAGGGCUCAGAAAGAUGCCCAGAGAAAGCGAGAUGGAAUUUCCCGCGAGGUUUAUGCGCUUACUGGUGGUCUGGCUCCUAUUAUGCCGGCAAUCGAUACAUCUGAGCUGAAGAAACGACCUCCAUCAGAUGAAAAGAUUACGUGGCAGUGGCUUCCUUUUGCAAAUUCUGCUAGAAAAGAUAACUUGCAGCUUUACCAUUGGGUUAGAGUUGUAAAUGGCAUUCCACCAACAGGUGAUUAUUCCUUUGCAAAGUACAACAAGUCUGUUGAAAUUGUCAAAUACACGGAUGAGGAUUACGAAAAGUAUUUGAAUGAACCUUCAUGGACAAAGGAGGAGACGGAUCGAUUAUUUGACUUGUGUGAACGGUUUGAUCUUCGCUUCGUUGUGAUAGCUGACAGGUUUCCAUCAACAAGGACAAUGGAGGAACUAAAGGAGCGAUAUUAUCGUGCAUCAAGAGCAAUUUUGGCAGCUAGAGAACCAAUGCCUCGGGAAAGUUCAGGGAAUACUCUCGCCAAGGAUCCUUACAGUGUCUCACAAGAGAUUGAGCGCAAACGGGCAUUGUCCAUGGUUCUCUCCCAAACGAAACAGCAAGAACGAAAAGAUGCAGAGGUUCUAGCUGAAGCAAAAAAGAUAACUGAAUCUCGCAGAGAUGAAAGAGUGCCUGAAAAAUCUGAGCUGCCUGUCACUUCAAAUGCUGUCCCUGGAGCUACUGAAAGGGCUGUCGUUCCUGGAGAUUCUUUACCAUCUGUAUCCAAUGUGCAGCCCCCUCCUCCAGCAGCUGCACCUUCAACUUUAGUGGCGGAUAAUGCUUCUACUCUUGCUUCUCUUCGCAUGCUUCCUGUAUACUUGAGAACGUAUGCACUUGAGCAAAUGGUCCAAGCUGCAAGUUCAUCUGCUGGGCUUCGGACUAUCAAGCGAGUUGAACAAACAUUACAAGAUCUUUCGGUUAAUCUAAAGCCGAGGGUUCCAACAAAAUCAGUGUGUGCAGAACAUCUUGAAUUGAGGAAAGAAAUAUUGACUCUACUGAAUCUUCAAAAGCAGUUGCAAAAUAAGGAGGCAGAAGGUUCAUCUUUCCGUGAGGGUCCCUACAACGAGGCACCUGGCACACCCAAGGAUCGUAGUUUUAUUCCUGAUUCUAUGAGUUCUGGAGGGGAAAGGUCUGGCAAACGGGAUCAGAAACGUAAGGCAACUGGGAGAUUAUCUGAAGCUCCAUCAUCACCAGCUCAAACUAAAAGGCCAAGAAAACAGAAAGGAUCUGAUCUGUGAUUCUCCAGGCGUCAGCUAUACAUAAUUCCCUUGCUUCAAUAACUUGGGAAAAGGAGAGUUUGUAUUAUCUGGGGUUCUUUCUUGAAUAGCUGCUUUAAUUCCUGUGCCGAUAGAUUCAAGGCCCUCAUACUUCACGAGGCAGUCAGCCACUGAUGAUCAAUAUUACUUCCACGCUCCUGCUGUAGUUCCUUAUGGCGAGCCUCAACAUGCCAAGGUGACUAUUUAUUGCCUAUGUUUAUGCAACAUUCAGCAUUAGUACUAAAUGCCUGACUCAUUGCAGAUAACUCACCUUGAAUGUCGUCUCAUUCGGUUCUUCAUCAUAUGCUUGGCAUGUUUCCUCCACAAAAUCUCCGAACUUUUCCUUUCAUACCCAUUCAAUUCCCAUCUUCAGGGUGCUUUUUGAACUGGGGCAGCUAUCGCAUGCGCCUGAAGAAGAAAAGGUUUAUCGUUGUUUUCACUUUCAAGAAUGAACUAUGUACACAUGUAUUUAACCCCUUCCCUGAUUCCAUUUUCUAAAAUCGUUUUUUAAGAACGAAAUUAAAGACUUGAGUAUUAGUCGCAUGUGUCAACAACGACGAUUCAAGUUUUAGUUGGCUUACUUGUUUGAAGGUGAGAAUGUGUCGUAUUAAUCACAUUACGAGUCUAGAAAGGGUGUAGUUGUGACACAAACUAGAUUAACUUCUAUACUAUAAGUUCAAUUUAUCUCAA